GACGAACGCUGGCGGCGUGCUUAACACAUGCAAGUCGAACGGUGAAGGGGUCUGCUUUUGUGGGCCCUGGUUGAGUGGCGAACGGGUGAGUAACACGGGAGUAACCUGCCCCCUUCUUCUGGAUAACCGCAUGAAAGUGUGGCUAAUCCGGGAUAUUCUGGGUCUGUCGCAUGAUGGGUCUGGGAACGAUUGCGCCUUUGGGUGUUGUUGGUGGGGGAUGGGCUCGCGGCCUAUCAGUUGGUUGGUGGGGUGAUGGCCUACCAAGGCGGUGACGGGGAGCCGACAUGAGGAGGUGGAAGGUCACACCGGGAAUGAGAUACAGCCCCGACUCCGAGGGGGGGCAGGAGUGGCGACUAUUGCGCAAUGGGCGCAAACCGGACGACGCGGCGCGGGGGAAGAGAGGGAGGGCUUCGGGUUGUAAACCUCUUUCGGAAGUGAAGAAGGGCUGGUACUUGUGGGUGGGUUGACGGUAGCUAAAUAAGAAGCGACGGCUAACUACGUG
rnacentral:rRNA from 1 species